rnacentral:rRNA from 1 species
UGGGGGAUAUUGGACAAUGGGGGAAACCCUGAUCCAGCGAUGCCGCGUGAGGGAAGAAGGUUUUCGGUAUGUAAAGCUCUAUCAGCAGGGAAGAAAAUGACAGUACCUGACCAAGAAGCCCCGGCUAACUACGUGCCAGCAGCCGCGGUAAUACGUAGGGGGCAAGCGUUAUCCGGAUUUACUGGGUGUAAAGGGAGCGUAGACGGUUAUGUAAGUCUGGAGUGAAAGCCCGGGGCCCAACCCCGGGACUGCUUUGGAAACUGUGUAACUGGAGUACAGGAGGGGCAGGCGGAAUUCCUGGUGUAGCGGUGAAAUGCGUAGAUAUCAGGAGGAACACCGGCGGCGAAGGCGGCCUGCUGGACUGAAACUGACGUUGAGGCUCGAAAGCGUGGGGAGCAAACAGG